rnacentral:rRNA from 1 species
GACGAACGCUGGCGGCGUGCCUAAUACAUGCAAGUAGAACGCAGUUGCGAACGGGUGAGUAACGCGUAGGUAACCAGCCUCAUAGGGGGGGAUAACUAUAGGAAACGAUAGCCAAUACCGCAUUCUGUGAGCUGGACCUGCGUUGGAGUUGCUAGUUGGUGAGGUAAAGGCUCACCAAGGCGACGAUACAUAGCCGCCCUGAGAGGGUGACCGGCCACACUGGGACUGAGACACGGCCCAGACUCCUACGUGAGGCAGCAGUGGGGAAUUUUGGACAAUGGGGGAAACCCUGAUCCAGCCAUCCCGCGUGUGCGAUGAAGGCCUUCGGGUUGUAAAGCACUUUUGGCAGGAAAGCGGUACCUGCAGAAUAAGCACCGGCUAACUACGUGCCAGCAGCCGCGGUAAUUC